rnacentral:rRNA from 1 species
UCCGUAGGCGGUCAGGUAAGUCAGUGGUGAAAGCCCAUCGCUCAACGGUGGAACGGCCAUUGAUACUGCUUGACUUGAAUUAUUAGGAAGUAACUAGAAUAUGUAGUGUAGCGGUGAAAUGCUUAGAGAUUACAUGGAAUACCAAUUGCGAAGGCAGGUUACUACUAAUAUAUUGACGCUGAUGGACGAAAGCGUGGGUAGCGAACAGGAUUAGAUACCCUGGUAGUCC